rnacentral:lncRNA from 1 species
AUGUGCAGUCCUGCACAAAGCCGUGGUGGGCCCGAGAAGGGUGCGGUACUGCGGUUGAGGCUAGGCGCCGUCAGAGCAACGGCAGCCGUUUCGUCUCUCCUCCCGCCGCUCAGGUGUGUUCGGUCUCCCCAAGCAUGCAAGGUGUUUGUUGAAUUGCACCCAACCAAGUAGGAUUAGCCUGGAACAUUGACCAUAUACAUUAUGUGGCCCAAGACGUUUAACAAUAGCUCUGUAUCAACGGUAAAAUCCUAAAUAACAAUAAUUUCUAUCAUCCAAAUUUUUUAAGGAUAGCAUUUUGAUGGUUCAGUAACAAUUAUUCAUAUAAAAUUACGGAAAAUACCCAUUAUUGUGAUCAAACAAGCUUACUUUAUAACGAAACGUUUAGUUUUCUUAGGUGAUCUUGAAAUUUACAACAACAACGAUGGUAGCAGCACUUACUAUGUGUAGCUAGGCACUCGGUGCACAAAUCUGUGCAUACAAAAGGUGCAGUUUGGAAAUAAAAUAGUUACACUGGCUUUAAUAAUACACAGCUGCACACAAGAUUAAACUAGUACUUACGGAUAAUGAAUCAUUUUGCUCUGUUUUCAACUUCCCCUUGUAACAAGUGCUGUAGUCUUGCUGAAUUUGAGGAUACCGAGAUAGCUUGGAUUAUUCUUGGAGUUGAUACCGAGAUAGCUUGGAUUAUUCUUGGAGUUAGGGACGUGUUGAGUUCCAAUACAGCCUCGAGAAUUUAGACUGCUUCAACCAUAGUUGGUCGAACAAACUCAUUGUCCUGAAUGCACCAACAAGCAAGUUUGCACAUUCUUUCCACUUCCUCCAGAUUGGCAUCACCGGACAAUUCCUGAUCCACCAAACUCUCAAUAUCACCCUCAAAGGAGAUUAGUUGCAACCUGCAUAGGAAAAAAGUAGCACAUCACGAUUACUGUUGCACUCUCCUUCUGAGUUUCUCCUUCCGGAAACAAUUUCCAAAAGCAUCAUCCCGUAGCUAUACACAUCCACCUUUGGCAUAAUAGCAACUCCACUAACCCAUUCAGGCGCAAGGUAACCAAUGGUACCCCUGACUGUAGUCAAAACACGACUGAAAUUGCUUCCAAGAAACUUUGCCAUCCCCAAAUCUGCAACUUUAGGAACAAAGGUUGCAUCAAGAAGUAUAUUAUGCGGCUUAAUAUCACAGUGUAUGAUGCAUUCCUGACAACUACGAUGCAAGUAAGCCAAUUCUUUUGCAACUCCAAGGCAAAUCUGAUUCCUAGUGCUCCAUUUCAAGGCAGUGGGCAUUGGCAUGAAACAGAUGGGCAUCGCCAUCAAGUGAACCGUUUGGUGUGUGUUCAUAAACAAGUAACCUUUUGCUUCCCUCACAACAGAAGCCAAUUAGUUUCACCAAGUUGAUAUGUUGUAUGAUUCCGAUUAACUUCUGCCCUGAACAUCUUCUCUCCUUGACAUGCACGAUCAAGUCUUGCUAUGGAGGUACUUGAGUGAUGUAAAAACCCCUUGAAUACAGAACCGAAACAACCACCUCCUAAUUUCUCUGAAAAGCUUUUUGUUGCAAGGCGUACAUCUAUGUACUUAAAAGCAAUGAUUCCACCAUCACCAUGAGAGUUGUUAAAUAUGCUAGCAAGUAAUUUCCUUUUGUUCCUACAGAUCACCAGAAGCAAUACGACAAAUGUCAGAGAUAUUCCAAAAGCAGCAGUGCCUACCCAAAUGAUGGCUGUUCUCCUGUUAUGCCUCUAACUUGGCAUCUCUUUGGCAGCGAGACGAAGAUAAAGGAUUUCUUCAUUAGUACUGCUAGAACUGCCAAG